rnacentral:tRNA from 1 species
GUUUCUAUAGCUUAAAUAUUUAGAGCAUAUCAGUGAAGUUGAUAGGGUAAUUUAUAAUUUAGGAACA